CACUUCUUCCAUCAAAAACACAAAUUACUCCGUCAAAAGAUUCAAAACCCACCAUACCCACAAUCCAAUAAAUAUCUCCUUCCUUAGACCCACGGCAAAACCCACCUUCCAUCCAAAGAACACCACUUCUACCACCAAAAACACAAAUUUCUCAAUCAUUAGACCCACGGCAAAACCCACCUUCCAUCCAAAGAACACCACUUCUACCACCAAAAACACAGAUUUCUCAAUCAUUAGACCCAUGGCAAAACCCACCUUCCAUCCAAAGAACACUACUUCUGCCACCAAAAAUACAGAUUUCUCAAUCAAAACCACCAUACCCACUAUACCCACAAAUCAACAGAGAUUGUUUUUGGCCAAUUCCCUUCUACUCCCUCCAAAAUGCAGACCCACCCACAACUGCAAGCCACAAACCACUGCAGACCCACCAACAACCGCAAGCCACAAACCACCAACAUGCAACCUCAACAACCCACAAACGCCGCUGAGAACAACGCACCCCAACCCUCCUGUCGGCGAUACACCAUCACACCCAACCCACCCGUCGAAACUGGCCCAAAGAGAAAUUCAAGUUUGGGUUUGAGAAUAUCUGCUUAUUCAUGGCUGUAUUUUGAUUGAAAUCAAAGAAGCACCCAACACCCGAGGCAGAACAAUCCCACUUGAAUGGUUGCCUUAGUCCCUGCUGUUAAGUGAAUCCUACCACAGGUCCAUCUGUGGCAGAGGGUAUGGCUUCCUUUUCAGUUGUCAUCAUUGGCCACUUGGCCUCACCAGGUCUAUCUCUAUCUCUCUUCAAAUUUAGACUCUCUGUUCUAUAAAUUUUUUCCCUUUACAAGAUAUAUUUUUAUGGUGGAAUGCUUGUGAUUAAGAUGACUGAUAUUUAGGUAAUUGUUAACUAAAGCUUGGUUUUAUGUUUAGUUUAAUUGUUUCAUCUCAAUACUUUCAUUGUUUUUAUUACUUCUUUAUUUGAUUUUAAGAGUAGCAUCUACAUUUUUGAGGGGUUUUGUUUGAUCCUUAUUUUUUAGUUAUGCUAAGGUUUGUAUUUUUAAUUUUGGUAUAACCAUGGAAGCUAAGAUCCAUAGCUAUCAGCCUACUACUGACUUUUAUUUUUUGCUUUCUACCAUGCACAUCGAAGGACCAAGUCCAUAGAGUUUAGAAGCUAUCUACAAAUUCCAGCAAUAGCAAAGUGCAUAAUUGAAAAGUGUUAUUGUUGCAAACUUAAAACUGCUGGUAUGGUUGCACAUUUUGGACAGAACAGUAUUACUCCAAAAGCAUUACCAGUAAAGUUUUUAAUUUCUUUUUAAAACUCUCUCCAUUGUUUCCUCAAACAUUCUGUCUCUGCAGCUCUGCCCUUAUUAUAAAUGCUCCUCUGCAGACUUCAUUCAAAAUACAAAUCAGCAAACAUUAGGUGUAGAGAGAGAAAUCUGAGGGAUUUUUCCAUUGUCAGCCUGUUUCCCUCCGCUUUCUGGCUUCAAGCCACCAUUAUACCUCCAAAAACAUUACCGGUAAAGUUUUUAAUUUUGUUUUAAAAAGUUGUUGGUAAAAAUAUGAUUUAGGUUUUGGUAUUUCAAUUUAGGGUUUAGAUUUGCGUUUAUUUUGGUAGAUUAGCCUGGGAGCAUUAGUUUGUAUGAUAAAUCUUCAAUAGCUUAUGAUCUUCAAAAACUGAAAAUCUUUUUUAUUAUAUUAGUUGGUUUCUCAAUUCUAAGAAACUCUUUUUUUUCCCUUUGGUUUCUCAACUCCCUUGAAAGUGUUCAAAGAAAUGCUUGAACAGAACUUUUCAUCACCAUAUUUGAUUGGAUUGGUGUUGAUUGCUUGCUUUCUAAUUUUUUGGGGUGCAUAUACUUUAAAUUUGUAGAAUUUUAGUGUUUUGACAAUUUUCAGUUCAACUAAACUGAGGUUGUAAUCAAAUUAUAACAUAUAAUUUAGCAAAUGUAAAUAUUCAUUAGGUUAGUUGUAAUCAGAUAUAAUGUAUAGUUAAGCAACUAAGAGAUCAAUUUAGUCCAGUAUUAAAAGAUUAAAUGCAAAUUAUAUUCAUUUUAAAAUAUAAUGUUAUAGCGGCAAUAUAACCCAUGCAUUACAAGGUUUGUCACAU